AUCACUUUCCUUUCAUUACUACCAGGCGCCAUCCUCACCACCAAGUAACCCGGUCUUAUCAAAUCGGGCAACAAAGUCAAAAAUUCCGUAUCGGUCACUAUCGGAUGAGCCGAAUGUAUUAAACCUCCUAGCGAAUCGUUAAACAAACAACACGGCCAUCGCCGAGCUUCACUACGCCGGUAUUAGCAUUAUCGGUUAAAGAAGCACCAGAAAAGAGGCUUCCGAUUCAACUUGCCGGUGACCGGCCAUUAAUCGGCCGUUUUCGAAGUGGAGUUUGACUAAUGUGGCGUAACCGUCAAAAAGGUGCCGGAAUUUGUAAUCUCCUAUGUGCCAGAGGCCAGGGCCGUUUCUAAGUUGAUUUUGGUAGGCACUUAUCAUACACUGGAGAUCUUUAACAUGACAUUUGGGUGCUUAAAUUCAUAAACCAACUACUGAAGGCCACAGCUUACAAGGUAUAUUCUGAUUACUUGAAAUCUCCAUUUUCUUUUGUCGUUACACAUCAUAGGAAACUAGACUGAUUGAUUGAGGAUGCUUAUGGCUAUAGUGCCUAGCCCAAGUAAAUGUGCCUCAUCAUAAUUAUAUAAAUAUACGGUUUGCUAUAUUUGUCAAUUGAAUGUGUAAGAAUAGUUUCUUGCUGCAAUGUUGUAAUUGGAAAUUAGCUAUAAGAGAGGACAUAGCUUUCUUCUCAUCAUGACAUUUUGUUUAGAUAAUUUCUGAUAAUAUUACUAGUCAUCUGUGUAGAGGUUUUGGC